CGGGCCAGAGCUUGGAAUAAAGCGUUUUAUUUACAUUAAAAAGUUAAUUGUGAAAUUCAAUUUGGCUUGA
rnacentral:tRNA from 1 species